rnacentral:rRNA from 1 species
CAGGGAAACUGCGUACGGCUCAUUACACCAGCCUUAAUUUACUUGACCUUGACAACCUACUUGGAUAACUGUGGUAAUUCUAGAGCUAAUACAUGCACCAAAGCUCCGAUCCUCGCGGAGAGGAGCGCAUUUGUUCGCCACAAAACCAAGCGCCCAUCUGGGCGUCCAGUGCUGAACCAGAACAACUCAGCUGAUCGCACGGUCUUGUACCGGCGACGUGUCUUUCAAGUGUCUGCCUUAUCAACUUUCGAUGGUAGUGUACCUGACUACCAUGGUUGUGACGGGUAACGGAGGAUAAGGGUUCGACUCCGGAGAAGGGGCCUGAGAAAUGGCCACUACGUCUAAGGAUGGCAGCAGGCGCGCAAAUUACCCACUCUCAACGCGAGGAGGUAGUGACGAGAAAUAACGAGACCGUUCUCAUACGAGGCCGGUUAUUGGAAUGGGUACAAUUUAAA